rnacentral:rRNA from 1 species
AUGAACGCUAGCUACAGGCUUAACACAUGCAAGUCAGGGGCAGCAUGAACAUAGCUUGCUAAGUUUGAUGGCGACCGGCGCACGGGUGCGUAACGCGUAUCCAACCUUCCCGUUACUCAGGUAUAGCCUUGCGAAAGUAAGAUUAAUCCCUGAUGACAUAUGUUUACUGCAUGGUGAGCAUAUUAAAGAUUUAUCGGUAACGGAUGGGGAUGCGUUCCAUUAGGUAGUUGGUGAGGUAACGGCUCACCAAGCCCGCGAUGGAUAGGGGUUCUGAGAGGAAGGUCCCCCACACUGGAACUGAGACACGGUCCAGACUCCUACGGGAGGCAGCAGUGAGGAAUAUUGGUCAAUGGUCGGAAGACUGAACCAGCCAAGUAGCGUGAGGGAUGACUGCCCUAUGGGUUGUAAACCUCUUUUAUAUGGGAAUAAAAAGAUUACGUGUAGUCUAUUGUAUGUACCUUAUGAAUAAGCAUCGGCUAAUUCCGUG